rnacentral:lncRNA from 1 species
CCCUCCUGUCAACUAACAUAGCUAGCUAGCCACGAUAACAAGAUUACAUUUUGGUUAUCAUGAUAAUUUCUUGAAUUCAAAUGAAGGAGUUUCAAAAUGUGUGGAUGGAGAAUGAAUUUACUUACCAGAAAAAAUGGAGUGGGAAGAUGGGAGAACUUUGGGGGUGGUAGGUACUCAAACUGGUAUAAUUGGGGAGAAAUAUUGAAGAGUUGUGUGAAUGAAGGAAUGGUGAUCUUCUUGCCGCGGCCUUUGCUUGGUCAAUGGAAGAAAUUGCAAAGGAAUGGGGGAGAGAUGGAGAUAAUUUCUUCAAAGGAAAAACAA